rnacentral:rRNA from 1 species
GACGAACGCUGGCGGCGUGCUUAACACAUGCAAGUCGAACGAAGUGGCGAACGGGUGAGUAACGCGUAAUCAACCUGCCCUUCAGAGGGGGACAACAGUUGGAAACGACUGCUAAUACCGCAUACUGAAGGAGGGGAUUGCGUCUGAUUAGCUAGUUGGAGGGGUAACGGCCCACAAAGGCGAUGAUCAGUAGCCGGUCUGGGCAGGUGAACGGCCACAUUGGGACUUGGACACGGCCCAGGCUCCUACGGGAGGCAGCAGGUGGGAAUCUUCCACAAUGGACGAAAGUCUGACGUAGCAACGCCGCGGGAGUGAUGACGGCCUUCGGGUUGUAAAGCUCUGUUAAUCGGGACGCGGUACCGGAAUAGAAAGCCACGGCUAACUACGUGCCAGCAGCCGCGGUAAUAC